rnacentral:tRNA from 1 species
GCCUAGUUAGCUUAGUUGGUAGUGCGUCUGCCUUGUAAGCGUUAGUCCCGGGUUCGAUUCCCGCCCGGGGCG